rnacentral:rRNA from 1 species
UACGGGAGGCAGCAGUGGGGAAUAUUGCACAAUGGGCGCAAGCCUGAUGCAGCCAUGCCGCGUGUAUGAAGAAGGCCUUCGGGUUGUAAAGUACUUUCAGCGGGGAGGAAGGGAGUAAAGUUAAUACCUUUGCUCAUUGACGUUACCCGCAGAAGAAGCACCGGCUAACUCCGUGCCAGCAGCCGCGGUAAUACGGAGGGUGCAAGCGUUAAUCGGAAUUACUGGGCGUAAAGCGCACGCAGGCGGUUUUGUUAAGUCAGAUGUGAAAUCCCCGGGCUCAACCUGGGAACUGCAUCUGAUACUGGCAAGCUUGAGUCUCGUAGAGGGGGUAGAAUUCCAGGUGUAGCGGUGAAAUGCGUAGAGAUCUGGAGGAAUACCGGUGGCGAAGGCGGCCCCUGGGACGAAGACUGACGCUCAGGGUGCGAAAGCGUGGGGAGCAAACAGGGAUUAGAUACC